UACGGAGGGGGCUAGCGUUGUUCGGAAUUACUGGGCGUAAAGCGUACGUAGGCGGCUUUGUAAGUUAGAGGUGAAAGCCCGGGGCUCAACUCCGGAAUUGCCUUUAAGACUGCAUCGCUUGAAUCAUGGAGAGGUGAGUGGAAUUCCGAGUGUAGAGGUGAAAUUCGUAGAUAUUCGGAAGAACACCAGUGGCGAAGGCGACUCACUGGACAUGUAUUGACGCUGAGGUACGAAAGCGUGGGGAGCAAACAGGGA
rnacentral:rRNA from 1 species